GGGGUUGUGGCUCAGUGGUAGAGCGCUUGUCUAGCAUGCACAAGGCACUGGGUUCAAUCCUCAGCACCA
rnacentral:tRNA from 1 species